rnacentral:rRNA from 1 species
UGAUAGUAUCAGAAGAGGAAGGGACGGCUAACUCUGUGCCAGCAGCCGCGGUAAUACAGAGGUCCCAAGUGUUGUUCGGAUUCAUUGGGCGUAAAGGGUGCGUAGGUGGCGCCGUAAGUGGGGUGUGAAAUUUCGGAGCUUAACUCCGAAACUGCAUUCCAUACUGCGGUGCUUGAGGACUGGAGAGGAGACUGGAAUUUACGGUGUAGCAGUGAAAUGCGUAGAGAUCGUAAGGAAGACCAGUGGCGAUGGCGGGUCCCUGGACAGUUCCUGACACUGAGGCACGAAGGCCAGGGGAGCAAACGGGAUUAGAUACCCCGGUAGUCCUGGCAGUAAACGGUGCACGUUUGGUGUGGGAGGAUUCGACCCCUUCUGCGCCGGAGCUAACGCGUUAAACGUGCCGCCUGGGGAGUACGGUCGCAAGAUUAAAACUCAAAGAAAUUGACGGGGGCCCGCACAAGCGGUGGAGUAUGUGGCUUAAUUCGAUGCAACGCGAAGAACCUUACCUGGCCUUGACAUGCAUCUCUAAGCUGGUGAAAGCCAGUGAGUGUCGAAAGAC